rnacentral:rRNA from 1 species
GGAUGAACGCUGGCGGCGUGCUUAACACAUGCAAGUCGAACGGAAAGGCCCAAGCUUGCUUGGGUACUCGAGUGGCGAACGGGUGAGUAACACGUGGGUGAUCUGCCCUGCACUUCGGGAUAAGCCUGGGAAACUGGGUCUAAUACCGGAUAGGACCACAUUUUGGAUGGUGUGGUGGAAAGUUUUUCGGUGUGGGAUGAGCUCGCGGCCUAUCAGCUUGUUGGUGGGGUAAUGGCCUACCAAGGCGUCGACGGGUAGCCGGCCUGAGAGGGUGUACGGCCACAUUGGGACUGAGAUACGGCCCAGACUCCUACGGGAGGCAGCAGUGGGGAAUAUUGCACAAUGGGCGCAAGCCUGAUGCAGCGACGCCGCGUGGGGGAUGACGGCCUUCGGGUUGUAAACUCCUUUCGCUAGGGAUGAAGCGUUAUGUGACGGUACCUGGAGAAGAAGCACCGGCUAACUACGUG